CCCAACAGUCAUCAGGUGAGGGCGGUGUCACACCUGUGCUCAAUUUACCAAUCAGUUGAAUCCUGUUUGUUUUUGGCCUCGAGAAAACCUACACACACGGGGAAGAACCACGAGCUAAUGACGCACGAAGGAUCAAACCAGCGGACUGUAGGGCAACAGCACGGACCACUCUGCCACUGAGUGGACUAACAAAGGGACGGAUUUAGAGUUCAAGAAAAACAAAAAAACAAAACGAAGCUGAGGAGAAGAAACGUACAGAGCUGCCACACACACAGAAGACGCCGAGCUUUCAUCCCACACAGAAAAGUCAACAAGAGAGCAGCUGCUCACAGGCGAUACCAUUCAAAUGAGGCGCCUGUCAUCCAAGGAGUUGAUAAUUUCCCUCAGGUUCACAGGGGGCGCUGCAGCCAGUCCCAACUGCCAUGGGAUUGCCCUGUUUGACCAUGAAACCCAUGGAGAAUCGCCCACUUGGCCACCAGUGAAAAGACGGCUUGGACGAGAGGGCAGCGAGGCCUCCUUGGAGACCGGAUACCAGCGCACUAGACUGAGGAUAUUUCCCAUUGUUUUUGUAAAGGGCCUGUCUUUGUAAAUCACUGACAUCACCAUGAUGGGUUUUUUCCCGUAGAAGUAAUGAGAGACAACUUGGAGAUCACCCCGUACGCUUCCUGUGCAAGUGGCUGCAAGUGAGGCAGAUUUGUGGAAGUGUCUAGAAAUACUGCAAACGUUACUGCAGUACGAGAAUCCAAAUGUGUGUCCCUAUCUCAACUUCAGUCUGUGCAAAUUCCUGGCAAGGUGAAUCAGUGAAGUGGAAAUGGAAAAUGGUUUUGUAGAAACAAUCUUAUUGAAAUGAAGAGUUCCAGUAGCAUGCUAACAACUAGAACAGUAAUAAAGGAGGCUAAGUCUAGUUUGUGUGUCAUAUUCAUUGUACCUUUUUAUCCAGACUAUAAGUCGCCACAGCCAAAGUAUGAAGAAAAGUGUGACUUAGAGGAGUAGCAGAUACUGGUACACAAGCCUAGA